CAUGAGUUCUUCUGUUUCUUCUGCGUGGGUUGACCAUGGGCAUCAGGCAUCAGAGAUACAACUCUGGAUCUUGUCCAUCCAUUGCUGGGCACUCUGUCCAUCCUGGGCGCAGAAGUUAUACACACGUUUGCUGGUCUUGAGCUACAAAACCAAAUGACAGUGAACCAGAGAUGAAGGGCAGGGCUGUUUUAUGGAUUUGGGCAUGGUAUGAGCAGGGCUAAGUGGAAAAAACUGUAUCUAUCUUUCAUGUUAAAGAAGUCCAGAAGACUGACCUCUGGGGAAAGACUGCUGCUUUCUGCUGGGAUUACCACAUCUGUGAGGCUUGGAAUGAUCAGUAGCCAUCCUUUGUGCCAUGUUGGGACUGACAUAACACAGAGAGAGGGCAAAGCAGAGCCAGGAAGUGGAUAGAAGAUACUGUGUGAGAAGCUAGCAUACCCUUGGCUGUCCUAGCUUAUGGAAACAGAUCCAGAUGGAGGAAACAUCUGAUAAAGUUUGCCUAAGCAGCCAGCAGUCUAUCAAUCAUGACUCUUCCAACCCUCAUCCUGCAUCUAUAUCUAGAUUCAAAGAAGUCCAUGCAGGAGGCAGUCUACACUUUUCAAGAGAAAAUGGAAGGACUUCAGAGUUGAUUUGAUGAAGCUCAGUAAAAAACAUAAUUUUAUGUUUCUCUUUUAAGUUGUUGGCUGUUUGUUUAUUAUGAAGCCAUUUAAAGAGUUUUCUUGUUUAGCAGUGUAUAUAUACUGCAGAUCAUGGUUACUGAGACUCUAGAUGACAGAAGCGUGUAGUCUGUGUCCUUGGGUGACUUAAAAAUAAAAGCAGAACUUUUAUACCUUUUUCAAAUAGUCAAUCUAUUACUAACAUGAGCCCACUUUGUUUUUAAUAGGGAGGAAAAUGUGUUGGGGUGAGGCAAAAAGUAGUUCUUUAAAAGGCCAUGAAGGGUGUCUCAGCAGUGGUGUCUUGCUUGGAAUGAAGUGACAUAGUCAAAAUCAACAUGCAUUUUACCAGUUUAUCAAAAAAAAAAAAAAAAAAAGACUCAAGCCCAAGAUGGCAUGAAAUUCUAUAAUAUGUGGGGCCCCUAAGACUAAUUAACAGUUUCUUCUCUACCUUUUAACUGCAGGGUCCAGUGCAGUAGUUCUCAACCUUGGACAUGGAUUUAAAAAACCAAGGGCUUUAAAAAAAUCCCAGUGUCCAGGUCUCACCUCAGACCAAUUAAAUCAGAAUCUCUGGGGAUGGCCCGAGAUAUUAGUUAUUUUAAAAGUUCAAGUAACUCCAAUGUCCAAAGUUGCAAAUGCUCUAGGGGUUGCAGUAAGAUUUUGAAAGCCACCUUGUAUAUUGCUCCAUUUGGCGCCUUGAGGCAUGGAUUAGACUGAAAGGCUGUGUGGUAGUCAGCCCAAGUUGAAAUAGGCUCUAGGCACCUUUGUAGACAGAAAGAGAAUGAGCUGAAACCAGAAGAGGAGAUGCAAUACAUGGCCCUCUGUUCCUUAGGGCUGUUGUAACAUCUUGUAAUUGGAACCAAGUCCAAUGGACUUUUCUUACAGUAUCCAUAUGGCUGGCUUAGGGCAACAUGUACACAUAUAAGGAACAUCUUAAAAACAGUCCAAAUCAGACAGCUAGUGCCAAAUCCUAUCAAAUUAUAACCCUAUAAUCCAGUAUGUAAUAAUCAACAUAUUAAGCUUUUAGGACACAGGAGAAUUCAUUGUGUUUAAGUUU
rnacentral:lncRNA from 1 species